UGGGGAAUAUUGGACAAUGGGCGCAAGCCUGAUCCAGCCAUGCCGCGUGAGUGAUGAAGGCCCUAGGGGUGUAAAGCUCUUUCACCGGUGAAGAUAAUGACGGUAACCGGAGAAGAAGCCUCGGCUAACUUCGUGCCAGCAGCCGCGGUAAUACGAAGGGGGCUAGCGUUGUUCGGAUUUACUGGGCGUAAAGCGCACGUAGGCGGACUUUUAAGUCAGGGGUGAAAUCCCGGGGCUCAACCCCGGAACUGCCUUUGAUACUGGAAGUCUUGAGUAUGGUAGAGGUGAGUGGAAUUCCGAGUGUAGAGGUGAAAUUCGUAGAUAUUCGGUGGAACACCAGUGGCGAAGGCGGCUCACUGGACCAUUACUGACGCUGAGGUGCGAAAGCGUGGGGAGCAAACAGG
rnacentral:rRNA from 1 species